GGUGCCAUUACAUUAUAUAUAUAUAUACACAUUUCUGUUUCUCUCUCUUGAUCUCAAUCUGAAUUCGGACCGAGGUUCAGUAUCCGGAUCUCUCUCACAGGAUUUCACAUCAGAAGAACCUAAUUUCAUAACAUUCAACAAUGCCUCUCAGACUCGAGAUCAAGAGGAAACUUGCUCAAAGAUCGGAAAGAGUAAAGUCGGUGGAUCUGCAUCCAACAGAGCCAUGGAUCCUUACGAGUUUGUAUUCAGGAACAGUGUGCAUCUGGGAUUACUCAACUCAGUCUCAGGCCCCGGCAAAAUCAUUUGAGGUAACCGAGUUACCAGUCAGAUCAGCAAAGUUUGCAGCCCGCAAACAGUGGGUUGUUGCCGGAGCAGAUGACAUGUUUAUCCGUGUGUACAAUUACAACACAAUGGAUAAAGUUAAAGUAUUUGAGGCACAUACAGAUUAUAUUCGGUGUGUGGCUGUCCACCCUACCCUCCCAUAUAUACUGUCAUCUUCUGAUGACAUGCUUAUAAAGCUUUGGGACUGGGAGAAGAGCUGGUAUUGUACUCAAAUAUUUGAGGGACAUUCCCAUUAUGUCAUGCAAGUGACAAUCAAUCCAAAAGACACCAAUACAUUUGCAAGUGCAUCGCUUGAUCGCACCAUAAAGAUCUGGAAUCUUGGCUCACCUGAUCCUAAUUUCACACUAGAUGCCCAUCUCAAAGGAGUGAAUUGUGUGGAUUAUUUUACAGGCGGUGAUAAACCUUAUCUAAUUACUGGAUCAGAUGAUCAUACUGCUAAGGUCUGGGAUUAUCAAACCAAAUCUUGUGUUCAGACUUUAGAAGGUCACACACACAACGUGUCAGCUGUAUGCUUUCACCCAGAGCUGCCAAUAAUAAUCACAGGUUCCGAGGAUGGUACUGUACGUAUAUGGCAUUCAACUACUUAUAGACUUGAGAACACUUUGAACUAUGGGCUUGAAAGAGUUUGGGCUAUUGGAUACAUGAAAAGUUCACGACGAAUUGCUUUUGGCUACGAUGAAGGCACUAUAAUGGUGAAAGUAGGUAGAGAAGAGCCUGUAGCUAGCAUGGACAGCAGUGGAAAGAUUAUAUGGGCUAAGCAUAAUGAAAUUCAGACCGUUAAUAUUCGGACUGUGGGAGCUGAUUAUGAGGUUUCUGAUGGAGAGAGGUUGCCUUUAGCAGUCAAAGAGUUAGGAACAUGUGAUCUUUAUCCACAGAGCUUGAAACACAACCCAAAUGGGAGGUUUGUUGUUGUCUGUGGUGAUGGUGAAUACAUUAUAUAUACAGCUUUGGCAUGGAGGAAUAGAUCCUUUGGCUCUGCAUUGGAGAUUGUUUGGUCAUCUGAUGGUGAAUAUGCUGUUAGGGAGAGCACAACUAAGAUCAAGAUCUUUAACAAAUCUUUCCAGGAAAAGAAGAGUAUCCGACCAACAUUUUCUGCGGAGCGCAUCUAUGGAGGAUCUUUGCUGGCUAUAUGCUCAAAUGAUUUUAUAUGUUUCUAUGAUUGGGCUGAGUGUAGAUUGAUUCAACGAAUUGAUGUUAAUGUCAAGAACAUUUACUGGGCAGACGGUGGUGAUAUGGUAGCAAUUGCCAGUGAUUCGUCAUUCUACAUACUACAGUACAAUCGUGAUGUAGUGUCAGCACAUCUAGAUAGUGGACGAUCUGUAGAUGAGGAUGGUAUUGAAGACUCCUUUAAAAUUCUCUCUGAAGUCAGUGAAAGGGUCAGAACAGGAUUGUGGGUUGGUGACUGUUUUAUAUACAAUAAUUCUUCAUGGCGACUCAAUUACUGUGUUGGUGGGGAGGUAACCACAAUGUUUCAUUUGGACCGCCCGAUGUAUCUUCUAGGAUAUCUAGCCAAUCAAAGUAGGGUUUAUCUCAUUGACAAGGAAUUCAAUGUCAUUGGUUACACACUCCUGCUCACCUUGAUCGAGUAUAAAACUCUUAUUAUGCGCGGAGACCUAGAGCGAGCUAGUUCUGUGUUGCCUUCAAUUCCAAUGGAGCAUCAUAAUAGUGUUGCUCAUUUUCUGGAAUCACGAGGAAUGAUUGAGGAUGCUUUAAAAGUUGCUACAGACCCUGACUACAGAUUUGAGCUAGCCAUUCAGCUUGGUAAACUAGAGAUUGCAAAGGAUAUUGCUGUAGUUGCACAAAGCGAGUCGAAAUGGAAGCAGUUGGGUGAAUUGGCUUUGUCUGCUGGACUGUUGAACCUGGCUGAAGAUUGUUUGAAGCAUGCAAAAGAUUUGAGUGGUCUGCUGUUGCUGUAUUCUUCUUUGGGAUAUGCCGAGGAGAUAGAAAAACUUGCAUCUUUUGCAAGAGAGAGUGGAAAGAACAACGUCGCUUUUGCUUGUCUUUUUAUGUUGGGUAAAUUGGAAGACUGUCUGCAGUUGUUAGUUGACAGCAAUCGUAUACCUGAGGCUGCUCUGAUGGCUCGGUCUUAUCUUCCUAGCAAGGUUUCAGAAAUAGUUGCUCUUUGGAGAAAAGACCUUAACAAGGUUAACCAAAAAGCCGCGGAAUCUCUAGCGGAUCCUGAAGAGUACCCAAAUAUGUUUGAAGACUGGCAAAUUGCACUUGAAGUUGAAGCAAGAGCUGCAGAGACAAGGGGUAGUUAUCCUCCGGCAACAGAGUAUGUGAACUAUGUUGAUAGAUCACACAUUAACCUUGUGGAGGUCUUCAAACAUAUGCAAUUGGACGAUGAGGAACAACAUGAAAAUGGAGAGUUGGAUCAUGAGGGUGUAGAAGAAAUUGGAAAUGAAGAGGGAUUUGCUGACGGUCAAGAAGUUAGUCAAGAGGAAAGCCAAGAAGAGGAUGCUGUUGCAGUGGAUAAUGACUCUUCAGACGGAGCUGUUCUCGUUAACGGUAACGAGGCUGAAGAAGAGUGGGGUACGAAUAAUGCAGGAAAUCCGUCAGCCUAAAAGCAAUUGGUUGGGGCAGUGUGAAAUUCCUAAAUUUUAUUGCUGUGCUUACACCACGUCACCCAAGUUGACUCCAGACAGCGUUUCUUGGUUUGCACAACUCCCGCAGGUACCUGAUUGUGGUGUAAUUUUGUAAGCACGAGGAUUUUUGUAUUUUCGAACACAUUAUAUGAUAUAUAGACUUCACCUUCAGUUUAGUACUCGAAAUAGUUACUCCCUAGUCGCUCUCUAUCAAUAUUCUUUCUGAGGUGAUGAUUUUCAUCUUUCAAAUCAUUUUACGUGUUAUUGGGAAUGUAUAAAAAAUUACUGUAACCUGUAGUGGUGUAAGGUGAUAACAAUAUAUAGCUGUUUUCAUCCAAUUUAAAUGUGUUUUUGCA